rnacentral:rRNA from 1 species
UGACCAGACUCCUACGGGAGGCAGCAGUGGGGAAUAUUGCACAAUGGGGGAAACCCUGAUGCAGCGACGCCGCGUGAGUGAAGAAGUCUUUCGGUAUGUAAAGCUCUAUCAGCAGGGAAGAUAAUGACGGUACCUGACUAAGAAGCCUCGGCUAACUACGUGCCAGCAGCCGCGGUAAUACGUAGGGGGCAAGCGUUAUCCGGAUUUACUGGGUGUAAAGGGAGCGUAGACGGCAGCGCAAGUCUGGAGUGAAAUGCCGGGGCCCAACCCCGGAACUGCUUUGGAAACUGUGCGGCUCGAGUGCGGGAGAGGUAGGCGGAAUUCCUAGUGUAGCGGUGAAAUGCGUAGAUAUUAGGAGGAACACCAGUGGCGAAGGCGGCUUACUGGACCGUAACUGACGUUGAGGCUCGAAAGCGUGGGGAGCAAACAGGAUUAGAUACCCGAGUAUA